UGGGGAAUAUUGGACAAUGGGCGAAAGCCUGAUCCAGCCAUGCCGCGUGUGUGAAGAAGGUCUUCGGAUUGUAAAGCACUUUAAGUUGGGAGGAAGGGCAGUAAGCUAAUACCUUGCUGUUUUGACGUUACCGACAGAAUAAGCACCGGCUAACUCUGUGCCAC
rnacentral:rRNA from 1 species